rnacentral:rRNA from 1 species
UACAGGGGGUGCAAACGUUGCUCAGAAUUAUUGGGCGUAAAGCGCGCGUAGGCGGCCGCUUAAGUCGGAUGUGAAAGCCCCCGGCUCAACUGGGGAGGGUCACGCGAUACUGAUCGACUCGAAGGCAGGAGAGGGUAGUGGAAUUCCCGGUGUAGUGGUGAAAUGCGUAGAUAUCGGGAGGAACACCAGUGGCGAAGGCGGCUAUCUGGCCCGUAAUUGACGCUGAGGCGCGAAAGCGUGGGGAGCAAACAGG